rnacentral:ncRNA from 1 species
GGAACUUGUACGCGUUGCGGUGCAACGAUAGUAAAAG